rnacentral:rRNA from 1 species
UGAGGGAAAGUUGCAAAGAACUUUGAAGAGAGAGUUCCAGAGUACGUGAAACUGCUCAGGGGCAAACGGGUGGGCCCUCGAAGUCCGCGGAAACUUGUUCUUUCGGAAUUUGAAAAAAUUUGUUGAAUUUUCGGACUUUGAAAAAUUUGCUCGACUUUUCGGAUUCAGCGACUUUCGCGGCGCACUCCGAGUCACCGUGCGGUGGCCGGAGGCGUCGUCGCCCCGUUGGGUGGGGAGGCCCGCGGACCGAGCCACGGACUGGCGGCGAGUAGGUCGAUAACCCACCCGACCCGUCUUGAAACACGGACCAAGGAGUCUAACGUAUGCGCGAGUCAGUGGAUCUCGAAUAAGCCCACGGGCGGAACGAAAGUGAGCGGUCGGGAUCCGGCCUGAGACACGGACGGCGCACCGACGGCCCGGCGCGAUCCGAGUGUACUCGGUCGGUGCCGGCGCCGGAGCGCACGCGUUGGGACCCGAAAGAUGGUGAACUAUGCCCGGGCAGGUCGAAGCCAAAGGAAACUCUGGUGGAGGACCGCAGCGGUUCUGACGUGAAAAUGGAUCGUCGAACCUAGG